rnacentral:rRNA from 1 species
UACGUAGGUGGCAAGCGUUGUCCGGAAUUAUUGGGCGUAAAGCGCGCGCAGGCGGUCCUUUAAGUCUGAUGUGAAAGCCCACGGCUCAACCGUGGAGGGUCAUUGGAAACUGGGGGACUUGAGUACAGAAGAGAAGAGUGGAAUUCCACGUGUAGCGGUGAAAUGCGUAGAGAUGUGGAGGAACACCAGUGGCGAAGGCGACUCUUUGGUCUGUAACUGACGCUGGGGCGCGAAAGCGUGGGGAGCAAACAGG